rnacentral:misc_RNA from 1 species
UGCGACUCGUCUAAAAAUUCGUCCUCGUUGGAACCAGUUGACGUUAUUCGCAAGCGGCAUCGGAUGUUAGAAUUAUGAAUUUCCCUACGAAUAGAAAAUAAAAUUGCCGUUUUCUUCAUCGAUCGCAGAACUAGAUUUGAUUUUACAGGGAUGAUCGCAACUGGAGCGAAAAAACCGAAGUGAAUUUCCGAAGUAACGCAUCGUAUUCCUGCUCCGAGCUGUACCGCCACCUAUAUUUGUGGAAUAGAAACGGCGGUAACGUGUUAAUAACACUUGAAGGGCAACCAGAGCUUUCGCAGCUGUUCGUACUUUCGUUUGUUACUCCGCAGGAUGAUGCCUCGGGACGAUGGCGUGUACGAACGGGAGCAUUUCGCCAUCGCUCCUCGUCCAUGCAUACAAAUAAAUCUAUGAAUCUCAUACGGCGAGCUGGUGUAUUUUACGCAGCAUUUCAUACCCCCUGAUAUCGAGACACGCAUGAGGCACGAAUAAGCGUCUGACGCAUAUAAACCCGUUUGUGUGUUCAGGGCGCAGGGAAGCCAUCGCCGCACGAGCAUGUCGCGUGCCCGCGUGUCACCGACUCCGUUCGUUCGUCGGCGAAAUUAAAUUGCGAGUUGUCGUUAG